GAGACACCCCUAUGGGGCAGGACUUGCUUCAGUGGGACUUUGGUGCUCACUGAAUUUGCCCCUUGAGUGUGUUGCU
rfam:Myotis brandtii contig260987, whole genome shotgun sequence.